AGAGUUUGAUCCUGGCUCAGAUUGAACGCUGGCGGCAUGCCUAACACAUGCAAGUCGAGCGGCAGCACGGGUACUUGUACCUGGUGGCGAGCGGCGGACGGGUGAGUAAUGCCUAGGAAUCUGCCUGGUAGUGGGGGAUAACGCUCGGAAACGGACGCUAAUACCGCAUACGUCCUACGGGAGAAAGCAGGGGACCUUCGGGCCUUGCGCUAUCAGAUGAGCCUAGGUCGGAUUAGCUAGUUGGUGAGGUAACGGCUCACCAAGGCGACGAUCCGUAACUGGUCUGAGAGGAUGAUCAGUCACACUGGAACUGAGACACGGUCCAGACUCCUACGGGAGGCAGCAGUGGGGAAUAUUGGACAAUGGGCGAAAGCCUGAUCCAGCCAUGCCGCGUGUGUGAAGAAGGUCUUCGGAUUGUAAAGCACUUUAAGUUGGGAGGAAGG
rnacentral:rRNA from 1 species